GGUGGUAUAGGCCCUUCAUAUACAGGUGGUGGUGGCGGCGAUGAAUAUACCGGUGGUGGAGGUGAGGGAUAUGCAUAUACUGGUGAUGGUGGGGGUGAGGUGUAUACCGGUGGUGGCGGUGAGGGAUAGGCAUAUACUGGUGAUGGUGGUGGUGAUGGGGAUGGUGGUGGGUGAUAAGGUGUUUGAUGUGGCGCUGGCGAUGAUGGUGGUGGAGGUUCUACACAAGGUGGCGGUGGAGGUGGUGGAGGUUCUACACAAGGUGGUGGAGAUGGCGGUGGUGGUGAAUAGACUGGUGGUGGAGGUGAGUGUACUGGAGGAGGUGGUGGGGGUGAUAAAUAUGGAUAUACGGGUGGAGGAGGUGAGUGAGGUGGUGGUGGUGGCGAACCUCUAGAGUCGACUAACAGGGCAUGGCCAGAUUUGGNNNNNNNNNNNNNNNNNNNNNNNNNNNNNNNNNNNNNNNNNNNNNNNNNNNNNNNNNNNNNNNNNNNNNNNNNNNNNNNNNNNNNNNNNNNNNNNNNNNNGGAAGAUGUGAGAGAGGAGGGGAGGUGUGGGUUGGAGAGGAGGAGCGACGGUGACAUGCGAGAAGAAGGGUAAUAAAGAUUACAGCGAGUGGAGUCGAGUCGAUAGAGAGCCAGGGAGUGCGUGUGGGUGGAGAGACGAUGUAUGGUCGGGAAUGGGUCUUGACGUAUUGUGAGGCUGAUGCGGAGGUAUUGAGAGAGAUGGAUGGGGUCUGGAAGAUGGUGGUCAUGCGGAGUGGGGGAUGGGGGCAAGCGGUAAGUGGGCGAUUGGAGCGAGGGAAGCUUAUAUGUAGGAUGGGAGGAGGUGAGGGACGGGGUCUGUGGGGGAGGGGGGGGUGGGGGUGGAGAGAGGUAGGUUGGAAAGGCGAUAGAAGGAAUGGAGAGUGAUCAUGAGAGUCGAUUAAGCGCAUGUUCGCGGGCGGGGAAGGGAGAGGUUGGGAGGUUUGGGUAGAUUGAGAACGCGUCGGGAGGAGUGGGUGGUUGGAGGGAGUGAUGGAGGGGGAGGGGGGAGGGGUGGGGAGGGGGAGGGAGAGUGGGGAGGGGGGGGAGGUGGGGGGUGGGGGGGAGGGGAUGAGUGGAGGGGGUAGUAGAUAGAUAAACCAGGUGGGGGGGUGGUGGGGGGAGAAGGUGGGUGGAGGUGAUGGCGGAGUGGGUGGUGGGGAGUAAACUGGUGGAGGUGGUGGUGGAGGUGAAGGUGGUGGUGGUGAAGGAGGUGGGGGUGGUGGUGAAUAUACUGGCGGUGGUGGUGGAGGUGGAGAAUACACUGGCGGUGGUGGAGAAAACACUGGUGGUGGUGGUGAGGGCGGUGGUGGAGACAAUACUGGUGAUGGUGGUGGAUUAAAUACCGGUGUCGGUGGAGUAACAACUGGAGGUGGAAACACCGGCGACGGCGGCGGUGACGGCAAAGAAGGAACAAAUGCUUUACAUCUAAAAGCAUUACAAUUAACAUGGUGAGACGCAAACGCCUUACACGUCUUCGCCGGCCGUUGUCUUGGUCUCGCCGGUAAACAAUUCUGUCUAUCAUCCGCCGCCGGCAACACCAAACACUGCGGUGGUUCACCGGUAAAGAAGUUAUAACUGUAAGUAAAAUUCACCAAAUUCGGCAACGCACAAAUACUCGCCGGAAUUUGACCGGAAAGAUAAUUAUGAGCCACAUUCAACACUUCCAAACCCACAGCAUUUCCAUACUUCUCUGGCAACGGCCCCAAAAACUUGUUGAAACUAACAUCAAACACAGUCAAAUUCUUCAACAACCCUACUUCCUCAGGCAAACACGCUUGAAAACCGUUAUUCAUCGCAAUAAUCUCAUUUAAUCUCGUCAUAUUGCCAAUCCCAGCUGGCAAACAACCGUGGAAACGGUUGUUCGCCAGUACAAUCACUGACACCGGAGAAUUACCAAAAUUCUCCGGUAAAUUAAACACAAAACGGUUAUGAUUGAUGAAAAUAGCAUCCAAAUCUUUAUCAAAGAGCUCCUUAGGUACAGUUCCUUCAAAUUCAUUGAACCUCAGAUCUAGAAAUUUUAACUCCGGUAACCGGAGAACAACCUCCGGAAACUUUCCGGCGAAACGAUUGUUACUCAGAUCCAAUUCAAACAAGAUUUUCAACUUCUCGAAUUUAUGUGGAACAGUUCCACAAAAUCGAUUAGUAUUAACAUGAAAUAAAGCGAGAUCGGUCAAAAGACCGAGCUCUUCCGGUAAGUAUCCGGCUAUAUCACAGUGAUUAAGAUCGAUACCAGCGACGGUAUUGAUCUUAGGAUUAUCAAGUGCGGGUGCACAGAAAACAUUGGUGUAGCUGCAAACAUCGGAACCUACCCAAUCAACGGUGCAGUUACGUGGAUCAGAAAGAAUAGCUUGUUUAAAAGCUUGUAAUGCCACGUAAGCGUUUUUGAUGCGGUUGUUGGAGAAAACUAGGGUUGGAUCCACCGUAACAUUUUCACCUCUGUCGUUGAAUUCAUCUCUGUAGUAUAGGAGUUGUCUAUGUUUUAUGUAUUGUGUUUCUGCUUCUGUAAGGUGGGACCCAUCUGAGACAAUGGAUGAGGAUAGUGUUGUUGUUAAACUUAGGAAGAAUGAAAAAAGAACAAUAACAUAAGAUGGAGAUGAAUAAUGCUGUUUCUUCCUCAUCUCACAUGAGGCAUCUGAAAAAAAAUAAUGAAUGUUGUUUUUCACUAGUGAAUGUUUAGAUGAUUCUAAAUGUGUGUUCUUUGUGGUUAACUAGCACAAAUAAAAUUUGAAGUAAGGAUAUGGUAAGAUUAUGAGUUUGUGAGAUCUAAGAGAAAUGGAAAUGGAAAAUGUGGUUGUUUAAUGUGAGAGAGGUAGAGAGAGAAGAUGAGGAAGAUGAUUUUCUAGGGAUUUUGGAACUGUGUGAGAAGGUGUAUAUGAGUGUGUGAAGAGAGAGAAGGUGAGAGUGGAGAUGAAAUAAUUCAUUCCAAGGGACAGCUAAAUCACAGCUCAAAGCCCACCAGAUUCUCUCUCUAUCUUUUUUCCUAGGCUCUUGUUUUUUUAUUCAUAUUUAUGGUUGGUCUUAUUUGUUUUUUUCACUUAACAUUUUUUUCUAACCAUUGUUUAGAUAUACUUGAUCUCCACUAAACUCUCUAAACCAAUCUUUUCUAUUACGAGAAUCACGGUGAUUUGUGAUUUUAUUCAAGCUAUAUAUUUCUUUUUUGACAGAUUAUUGAAGCUAUAUAUAAAAUUACAAUAUAUCACUGUAAUUGCGACAUACACCUGUAAUAUCAAAUAUAUACUAAGAUAUUUUUAGAGUUAAUGAGUCUGUUAAAAGACUAAAAUAUGAGUCCAUUGUCAUGACGUCAACACUUUCAUUAUUAUGUAGUUAUAACUUAUUUGUUUGUGCAUUUUAUUUUUGUGACUUACUAUCGUUUCGUAUACAAAGAAUGUAAGACUAAUCAACUGUAGUUGACAUACAUGAUUUUAGUUGUAACUUUGAUUUUAGUCUAAAAUUUCACUAAUAUGAGUAGUAAGGUUAAUGUUUCUAACAUGGGUGUCCCUUAACUUAAAAUUCUAUUUCCAUUAAAAAAUGCAAGACUAUUUUAGCAUUUACUCUAUUAACUAUAGGUUAAAUUUUUCUAAUUCUUGGUUAAACUACAUUUCAUUUGAGCCAAGAAAAAAACUUAGUUGUCACACACUUUGAAUAAAGGGCAGACGCGGAUAGAAGAAAGAAUAAGGCGUGUGCAAUGGAAUAAACAGUUGUCAAAAAUUAGUAAUAAGACUUCUUAAACCAAAAGAGAAAAACAAGUAUUCUUUUAAGUUGAAAAUAUGUUUAGAAAAAAAAUUAUCAUAAAAAAAAAAAACUAAUCAUUGUUUCCAUUACUAUAUUUUAAACAAAAAAAAUAUAAUGAUGAUUAUUUAGAGUUGUUGUAACUUACUAGUAUUUUUUUAUUGAAGAAAAUAUAGAAAGCUGUUAGCAUGAUCCUCAACUUUGAUGGUAGCUUAAGUUUAAUUAAAUAAUAAUUAAUCAAAGUGUUAAUUGAAUUGUCAAAUCGUUUUGUUUAAUCAUAACCUGAGAAGUGGUUGUUUGUGUCGGCGUCUAUUGCCAUAUCAGCAACCUCUUUUUUAAAUUUAAAUAAAUAAAUAGACAAUAAAAUAAAUUAAUAAAAUUAAGAAUUAAAUUAUGUCAUGGUAUUUGGACUUUUUCAAAUUUCUACAAUCCCGUGAUAUUGAUAAUUUGUGGACGGCUUUUUUGCCUUAUGAAUGAAUUUAUGGCUUUUUCAGAUUAACUUACUCCACCGAUUUCUCUUUUUUUAAUUAAAAUUCUUUUGGAGAUUCUUAAUUAUAGAUGACUAAUUUUAGAGCAACUAAUUAUGGAAAGCAAAAUGUUGAUUGACUUUGAGAGUUAUUAGUAGGUCCUACGAUGUAGAAGAAUGUCAUUGGUCCAUUAGGAAGAAAAUUCAAAGUAUUUUGAUGACGAUUAUUCCGCAAUAGAGACCAAUUAAUAAGAUUGAAUUGAAUGAUUAAGACAAUCCCCAUGUAGAUAGUUGUGUUUAACGGUGAGUAAAUCAUUCCGAAUUUAAUAUGUAUAAUUCUUUUUAACAAAAUGAGUUUCUUUUGUCUCACAAUAAAUAUUACUCAUAUUUUACUGUAGUUUAGGUAGAUGGGUACUCUCUGUCCAUCUAUCCGUUCUUUUUAUUGCAUUAAUAUGUAUAAUUUAUGAACUAUAGUUUUUAUGAAUUUUUGUUUUUUUUUUAAUAAACAAAAAUGGAAUAUAUAUUAAUAAUAAAGAAGCCGCAACUCAAUCACAAGAUGUGCCCAAAGAAGUCAACUCACGUUUACAACCAGAGUCCAACAACCGAAGACAAAAACAGACGAAUUAUGCUCAUUGCCCAAAUGGAUUCGCUCAUUCCCAAAGUAAAUGAUCGAAAUGCCCCUACGCAUGUUAACAUGCGCUAGUGCAAAUUAGAACAUAACUUAAGAUAUGUUGCCUAAGUUAACAUGCACUAGUGUUAAUUGUGUGUUAUUUGUUGAAUACUUAGCGUAUGUUAACAUGCGCCAGUGUAUUGUGUAACGUGAGUUAACUCACGUUUCCAUUUGCUCUAGCGUUAGUUAACUCACGUUCAUACUCCCUCCAUUCCUUUUCUUUUGAUGUUUUAGAACUUCAACUAUAUUCCAAAACUUUUGAUGUUUUAGUGAAUUUGUUAUUGUUUUCUCAAGUUUACCCUUGUUGGAAAACACAAUAAACUAUUAAAGUAGUUGUGACCUUUGGUUUAUCAUAUGUGACUUUAAUGAUAAAUACGGACAUUUAAGUAAAAAAUACACAAAUGUUUAUAUACUUUAAUUACUCCUUAAAACUUGUGUCAAGAGCUAAAACAUCAAAAGAAAAUGAAUGGAGGGAGUAGAAGACAACAGAAACUGCAAUAAGUGCAGGCAGUUACAGAACUGUCUUUUGAAAAGUUUAGAAUGACCCGUAAUCACGACACAUUCAUAACUUAACCGAAUUACGCCAGUUUAAGAAGAUUAUCGAAUAAUACGACAUAAUCGAUCCAAAUUACUCAAAAACAUCGUUUUUCUCACAAUCACGUAAUCACACAUAAACGAUCCAAACGGUCCAAAUUUCACAAAUUCGCCGAUAAUGACCCGUAAUAAUUUAAACACACUCAAUGACACGUAAACGAUCCAAAAUAAUUCAUUUCAUAUAUUUAUAUAAUAUUAGGUACAUAUUGGCCAUAAAUAUCAAAAUUACACAACCAGCCACCAAAAAAAUAUGUCGGGGUGUAAUACCACCAAAAAAUAUAACGAACACCGACCAACCCAAAAGUGUCAUAACCUAUCUAACAAGACUAGUGAUAGUGCAUAUUCUUCGUCUUCAUCCAUGACUUUGAUCUCUUGCUUUGACUUUUCCGGAGUGUCCAAAUUAAUAGGAUUGUGCUCAUUUGUUGGUUUCUUUGGCGGCAUCGGCUCCUUAGACAUGAGCUCAUCGAGGGCGGCUUUUCUAUCGAAAAACUGAAAAAGUCAUUGCUCCACCUCACCAAUCUUGUGAGUCAUCCACUCCUUAGAAGGAGGUGGUAGCGGACAAUUUUCUUUCAACUUCACAUGAAGAAAGUGUUCCGGAAUUAUGCAAAGGCACAUUAUGUUGGAAUGUGGAUUAAGUGGUGGAGCACUCCGGAUUGGGAAAUAUGCCUACUGAAAUAAAAACGAUACUACCAGCAAAACCAGCAAAAAUGAAAGAGUUUUGACGGUACAUUACAUGUUCUUUGAUGCUUGAUGAGCGUAGAAAUUUGUUUCCUGACGAUUUGCAAAGAUUUGGAAUGAAGAUUUUUACCCAAAAUUUCGCACUUUUGGGGUUUUUGGAGGUGGAGGAAAAGAAAAAAUGGAGCUUUGUGGUUGCCUGCUGGAUUUUGAACGAAAAUAGUACUUAACACAAGUUAACAUGCGCUACGUGACUUAAGUAACGUAGCGCAUGUUAACUUGCAUAGGGGCAUUUCAGUCAUUUACUUUGGGAAUGAGCGGAACCAUUUGGAUAAUGAGCAUAAUUCAAAACAGAUUAACCAAUGUCUAAACAAACAAGCGGGCCCAACAACCAACUAUAAAACCCAAGUGCAUAAAUAGCAUUAGCUACCUUCAUCAACCAAUACAAAUGGAUUUUAACUUUGUCUAACAAUUAAAUAAGGGUGUUUUCAAUGUUAUUAAAAAUUCCAUUAUUACGUUAAGUUCAUAACACUCAAAUGUAACAGCCCGAUUUUUAGCUAGAUUUAUUUUAAUUACUUUUAUUUUGUGUUUGUGUGUGAUUUUACCGGGGUUAAUAGUGCUUUUCACCCCUGUAAUAUAUGUCAUUUUCGGUUUGAUUUGCACCCUUGUAAAAAUUUUAUUUUCCGAAAAACACCCCUAAUAGGCCAUUUUCAGAAUUUUUUUUCAAGAAAUUUUGGUUUUUGAAUGGCCUAAUAAGGGUGUUUUCUGGAAAAUAAAUUUUUUACGAUGGUCCAAAUCAAACCGAAAAUUUUAUAGGGGCGAAAAUCGAAAAUGACAUAUAUUACAAGGGUGAAAAACACUAUUAACCCUAUUUUACCGUUAUUAGUUAAAAUAUCGUUUGGAGUGUAGAAAUAUUUUUGGUUUGAAUAGAAACGGGUUAAGCCCAGUAGGGUCUAGAAUUGAGCCCAAUUGAGUUGGAGCAUACCUAAACCUAAAACUUGGAGAGAAAUUCAUUCAUUCCUUUUCAUUUCACAAAGUUAGAGAGGUAGAGAGAGAAAGUGGAAGAAAUGAAGAACAAGGGUUAGAGAAAGGGGGAAGCUUGAAGAUUGAAGAAUUAGGAGCUAAAGUGAAGCUUAAGUUUGGAUUAAUCAUUAUCUAAGGUAAGGGGGUUAGUCUUCAUCAUAAUCAUAAUUGUUUUGUUUGCAAUUUUCUUUAUUUGUAUGAAAAAGUGCUUAAUUGAGCAAGUAUUUAUCUGAACCCAAUCUUUGAAUUUCGUGCUCUUGUUUUGGUGAUAAGUUUGAGUAUGUUAAUUGAAUGAUAAAUGAAUUGUUGGUGAUGAAAUAACAUGUUCAUAAUGUAUGAAAAUGGGUAGUUGUGAAAUUAUGCUUAAUUGAUGAAUUGUGACAUGUUAUUGUUGAAUUGAGGUGAGAAUCAAGUUUCAAUUGAUGUUGUUGUUGCUGAGAUAUGUUGUUGUUUAUGAUUAUGGCUUGGGUGUUCAUAUAUCAUGAUUGUUGGUGAGAAAUAAGAUGCUGUUGGUUGUUUUGCAAAAAUGGGUCAAAUGGUGAUUUUGUUUAAAAUGAUGUUUGAUUCAAGUAGUUAUAUAAAAUUGAGUGUCUUUUCAUGUUGAGAAACGUUUGGAUGCACUUUGGGAUCGAAUUUGGAUAAUGGGAAGUCAAAAAUUGGGAUUUUGGGGUGAAAAUGGAUUUUUCCUGUAAAACAGAAUUUUCUGAACUGUGCUCCCUCGCAAGGCGAGCUGGUGGCGA
rnacentral:lncRNA from 1 species